GCGCAGCAGUCGCGAAACCUCCGCAAUACACGAAAGUGUGACGGGGCCAUCCCGAGUGCCGUCCGCUGAGGACGGCUUUUCCCCAGUGUACAUAGCUGGGGGAAUAAGGAGAGGGCAAGCCUGGUGUCAGCCGCCGCGGUAAUACCAGCUCUCCGAGUGGUGGGGACGCUUAUUGGGCCUAAAGCAUCCGUAGCCGGCUGGGCAAGUCCUCCGUUAAAAUCCAACGAUUCAAUCGUUGGGCUGCGGGGGAUACUGUCCAGCUUGGGGGCGGGAGAGGCCGACGGUAUUCCCGGGGUAGGGGUGAAAUCCUAUAAUCCCGGGAGGACCACCAGUGGCGAAGGCUGUCGGCUAGAACGCGCCCGACGGUGAGGGGAUGAAAGCUGGGGGAGCGAACCGGAUUAGAUACCCCCGUAG
rnacentral:rRNA from 1 species